CCAGCGCGUGCCCGCCCGGCGCCCUCUAGGCUGGAACGCUGCGGGCGUCCUACCAGUGCCAGGACUGCCAGAGCGGGAGGAGCGCGGCGCCGGCCAGCCGGGACUGCUGGACAGCGGGGUCCAGGCUAGAGGCGAGCGAGCGGUCAGUGACGGCUGUGGAGGAGGGAGGCGCUGGGCGUCAGCGCGGGAGCCGAGCCUCUGGACCACUGAGCUGGGGGGCUGGCUGAGGUCCACCUCCUAACAAAUUAUUGGAAGGAAUAUGAGAAAAACGGAGUUUCACUCUUGUCACCCAGGCUGGAGUGCAAUGGAGCGAUCAUGGCUCACUGCAACCUCUGCCUCCCGGGUUCAAGCGAUUCUCCUGCCUCAGCCUCUCAAGUAGCUGGGAUUACAAGUGCCCACCACCACGCCCAGCUAAUUUUUGUAUUUUUAGUAAAGAUGGGGUUUCACCACAUUGGCCAGGCUGGUCUCUAACUCCUGACCUCACGUGAUUCAUCCAUCUCAGCCUCCCAAAGUGCUGGGAUUACAGGCAUGAGCCACUGUGCCCGGCCUAUACUUAUAUUUUCUUCUGUGAUUUUAAUAUUUUAGUGUUUAUGUUUUGGUCUAUGAUCCAUUUUGAGUAAAUUUUUAUAUUUGCUAUAAGGUAGGGGUCCAACUUUAUUUAUUUUUGAGAUGGAGGCUUACUCUAUUGCCCAGGCUGGCAUGCAAUGGUGCGAUCCAGCUCACUGCAACCUCUGUGUCCCAGGCUCAAGUGAUUCUCCCACCUCAGCCAUCUGAGUAGCUCGGAUUACAGGCCCCAUCACUAUGGUAAUUUUUAAAUUUUUAGUAGAGACGGGGUUUCACCAUGUUGGCCAGGCUGGUCUCGAACUCAUGACCUCAAGUGAUCUGCCCGCCUCUGCCCUACAAAGUGCUGGGAUUACAGGCGUGAGCCACCGUGCCUGGCCUCCAGCUUUAUUCUGAACAAGACAGAGUCUUAUUCUGUCACCCAGGCUGGAGUGCUGGAGUGCAGUGGCGCGAUCUCGGCUCACUGCAAGCUCUGCCUCCUGGGUUCACGCCAUUCUCCUGCCUCAGCCUCCCGAGUAGCUGGGACUACAGGCGCCCGCCACCACGCCUGGCUAAUUUUUUGUAUUUUUAGUAGGGAUGGGGUUUCUCCAUGUUAGCCAGGAUGGUCUCGAUCUCCUGACCUUAUGGUCUGCCUGCCUCGGCCUCCCAAAAGUGCUGGGAUUACAGGCGUGAGCGACCAUGCCCGGCCAACUUUAUUCUUUUAGAUGUGGAUGUCUAGUUGUUCCAGAAGUAUCUGUUAAAAAUGUUACUCUUUCUCCAUUGGAUUAUUUUGGCAACCUUAUAAACAAUCAAUUGACCAUAAA